rnacentral:rRNA from 1 species
AGCUCCAAUAGCGUAUAUUAAAGUUGUUGCAGUUAAAAAGCUCGUAGUUGGAUUUCUGGUUUGAUGCCCUGGCCCGCUGCUAUUUUGGUAGUGUGUGCCGGUUGUGCGUCUGCCAUCCUUCUGGGGAACGUUCCUUCUCUUCACUGAGCCGGGUUCGUGAUCCAGAUCGUUUACUUUGAAAAAAUUAGAGUGUUUAAAGCAGGCUUUGGCUAUGAAUACAUUAGCAUGGAAUAAUAAUCUAGGACUUUGGUCAUAUUUUGUUGGUUUCUGUAACUGAAGUAAUGAUUGAUAGGGAUAGUUGGGGGUGCUAGUAUUGAGCGGCCAGAGGUGAAAUUCUUGGAUUCGCUCAAGACUAACUUAUGCGAAAGCAUUCACCAAGGAUGUCUUCUUUA